rnacentral:tRNA from 3 species
GCUGAGGUAGCUCAGUUGGUAGAGCACCGCGCUGAAAACGCGGGGGUCCCCAGUUCGAGUCUGGGCCUCAGCA